rnacentral:rRNA from 1 species
CAGUAGCCGCGGGAAUACGGAGGGUGCAAGCGUUAAUCGGAAUUACUGGGCGUAAAGCGUGCGUAGGCGGUUCGUUAAGUCUGUUGUGAAAGCCCCGGGCUCAACCUGGGAAUGGCAAUGGAUACUGGCGAGCUAGAGUGUGUCAGAGGAUGGUGGAAUUCCCGGUGUAGCGGUGAAAUGCGUAGAGAUCGGGGGGAACAUCAGUGGCGAAGGCGGCCAUCUGGGACAACACUGACGCUGAGGCACGAAAGCGUGGGGAGCGAACAGGAUUAGAUACCCCAGUAGUCCCUGUCUCUUAUAC